rnacentral:rRNA from 1 species
CGCACGAGCGCACCCUUGUUUGCUGUUGCCAUCAGUUCGGCUGGGCACUCUGCGAAGACUGCCGGUGAUAAACCGGAGGAAGGUGGGGAUGACGUCAAGUCAGCAUGGCCUUUAUGUCUGGGGCUGCACACGUGCUACAAUGGUCGGUACAGAGCGCUGCAAACCCGCGAGGGUAAGCCAAUCGCACAAAGCCGGUCUCAGUUCGGAUUGCAGGCUGCAACUCGCCUGCAUGAAGCUGGAAUCGCUAGUAAUCGCGGAUCAGCAUGCCGCGGUGAAUACGUUCCCGAGCCUUGUACACACCGCCCGUCACAUCACGAAAGCUGGCUGUACUAGAAGUCGCUGUGCCAACCCGCAAGGGAGGUAAGCGCCUAAGGUAUGGUUGGUGAUUGGGGUGAAGUCGUAACAAGGUAGCUGUAGGAGAACCUGUGGCUGGAUCACCUCCUUU